rnacentral:rRNA from 1 species
GACGAACGCUGGCGGCGUGCUUAACACAUGCAAGUCGAACGGAAAGGCCCUGCUUUUGUGGGGUGCUCGAGUGGCGAACGGGUGAGUAACACGUGAGUAACCUGCCCUUGACUUUGUGAUAACUUCAGGAAACUGGGGCUAAUACCGGAUAGGAGCUCCUGCUGCAUGUUGUGGGUUGGAAAGUUUCGGCGGUUGGGGAUGGACUCGCGGCUUAUCAGCUUGUUGGUGGGGUAGUGGCUUACCAAGGCUUUGACGGGUAGCCGGCCUGAGAGGGUGACCGGCCAGAUUGGGACUGAGAUACGGCCCAGACUCCUACGGGAGGCAGGAGGGAGGAAUAUUGCACAAUGGGCGGAAGCCUGAUGCAGCAACGCCGCGUGCGGGAUGAAGGCCGUCGGGUGGUAAACCGCUUUCGCCUGUGACGAAGCGUGAGUGACGGUAAUGGGUAAAGAAGCACCGGCUAACUACGUG